rnacentral:snRNA from 1 species
AUUGCUUCUCGUCCUUUUGGCUAAGAUCAAGUGUAGUAUCUGUUCUUAUCAGUUUAAACUAAAUUCAUCAUAAUUUGAAAAUAAAUAAAAAUUCUCCCAACAUAA